GUUCGUUGAUCAAGAGCGAAAGUGGGGGUAGCGAUGACGAUCAGAUACCGUCGUAGUCCUCACCGUAAAGUGUUGCCGAUCCAUUUCAUCGGAUGCAUGUCUAAAGAGGCCAUCCGGGAAUGCAGGAUAACCAAUUAAUCAGGCUCUGGGGGGAGUAUGGUCGCAAGAGUGAAACUUAAAGGAAUUGACGGAAGAGCACCACCAGGAAUGGAGCCUGCGGCUUAAUUUGAAUCAACACGGGGAAUCUUACGGGGACCGGACGCUUGGAUGAUGGGAUCAGCAUAAAGUGCUUUCCAAGAUUCGAGCUACUAGUGGUGCAUGGCCGUUCUUAGUUCGUGAAUUGAUUUGUCAGGUUAAUUCCGGUAACGAGCGAGAUCUGAGCCCUUUCGUUAGGAAAUUCCAACGGGGUAACAUGUGCUUUAAAGCCAUGCAAUCAGGUCUACAACAGGUCAGUGAUGCCCUUCGAUGUUCCCGGCCGCACGCGCGCUACAAUGGAUGAGUCGACGAGCAGAGGUUUUUUUAAACCACUCUGAAAUCAAUUCAGAGGGCUAGACCGAGAGGUCAGGCGAAUCUGUUGAAACUCAUGAUCGUGAUUUGGGAUAGAGCUUUGAAAUUCUGGCUCUUGAACGAGGAACUCCUAGUAAGCCUCCGUCAUCAACGGAAGUUGAAUACGUCCCUGCUCUUUGUACACACCGCCCGUCGCUACUACCGAUUGAGUGUUUCGGCGAGAAUGGACAAGGUCCCACUGUGGCACCAACCUCCAUUCAGGCCGAUGCACUUAGAGGAAGUAAAAGUCGUAACAAGGUUUCCGUAGGUGAACCUGCAGAAGGAUCA
rnacentral:rRNA from 1 species